UCCUACGGGAGGCAGCAGUAGGGAAUAUUGGACAAUGGGGGAAACCCUGAUCCAGCCAUGCCGCGUGUGUGAAGAAGGCCUUUUGGUUGUAAAGCACUUUAAGCAGUGAAGAAGACUCUUCGGUUAAUACCCGGAGACGAUGACAUUAGCUGCAGAAUAAGCACCGGCUAACUCUGUGCCAGCAGCCGCGGUAA
rnacentral:rRNA from 1 species